GGCACUAUGGCCGAGUGGUUAAGGCGAGAGACUCGAAAUCUCUUGGGCUCUGCCCGCGCUGGUUCAAAUCCUGNNGGUGUCG
rnacentral:tRNA from 1 species